rnacentral:rRNA from 1 species
AGCAGCCGCCCGGGAAUACGGAGGGAGCUAGCGUUGUUCGGAAUUACUGGGCGUAAAGCGCACGUAGGCGGCUUUGUAAGUUAGAGGUGAAAGCCUGGAGCUCAACUCCAGAAUUGCCUUUAAGACUGCAUCGCUUGAAUCCGGGAGAGGUGAGUGGAAUUCCGAGUGUAGAGGUGAAAUUCGUAGAUAUUCGGAAGAACACCAGUGGCGAAGGCGGCUCACUGGACUGGUAUUGACGCUGAGGUGCGAAAGCGUGGGGAGCAAACAGGAUUAGAGACCCCUGUAGUCCCUGUCUCUUAUACA